CUUCUUCAUUGAUUAGAAGUUCUAACCUAAAGAGGCAUUUAGAAAUAGAUGAUAACUUAAUAACUACUAUUGGCAGAGGCCUUCAGGCCCAUACUAAACAAGCGCUUAACCAAAAUAAUGUGACGAACCACGCCUACAGCAACCAAAUAAAC